rnacentral:rRNA from 1 species
CAUACUCCUACGGGAGGCAGUUGCUGGGAAUAUUGCACAAUAGGCGACAUGCCUGAUGCAGCGACGCCGCGUGAGUGAAGAAGGCCUUCGGGUCGUACAGCUCUUGUGUAGGGGACGAGGAAUGACGGUACCCUAAGAAGAAGCGUCUGCUAACUACGUGCCAGCAGCCGCGGUAGGACCUAUGACGCGAGCGUUAUCCGGAAUUACUGGGCGUACUGGGCCAGCACGCGGCUUGGUAUGUUGUGCGUGAAAGCCUCGUGCUCAAUGCUGAGGAAGCCGGACAAUACUGUCAAGCUAGAGGGCAUCAGAGGGGAGUGGAAUUCCCGGAGUAGCGGUAAAAUGCGCAGAUAUCGGGAGGAACACCGAUGGCGAAGGCAGCUCCCUGGGAUGCACCUGACGCUAAGAGGCGAAAGCUAGGGGAGCGAACAGGAUUAGAGACCCUGGUAGUCCUAGCUGUAAACGCUGGGUGCUAGGUGUGGGACGUAGAAGUUCCGUGCCGGAGCAAACGCGAUAAGCACCCCGCCUGGGAAUUACGGUCGCAAGGCUAAAACUCAAUCGAAUUGACGGGGCCCCGCACAAGUAGCGGAGCGUGUGGUUCAAUUCGAUGCUACACGAAGAACACUUACCUGGGUUUGACAUGUACGUGGUACGAAGGCGAAAGCCUAAGGACCAUUCGGGGAGCGUACACAGGUGCUGCAUGGCUGUCGUCAGCUCGUGCCGUGAGGUAUCGGGUUAAGUCCCGUAACGAGCGCAACCAUUGCCCUUAGUUACAAGUGUCUAAGGGGACUGCCGUCGGGAAGCCGGAGGAAGUUGGGGAUGACAGUCAAGUCAGCAUGGCCCUUAUGUCCAGGGCUACACACACGCUACAAUGGUCAGUACAAAGGGUAGCGAAGUCGCGAGACGGAGCGAAUCUCUACAAAGCUGAUCGUAGUUCGGAUUGCAGGCUGCAACCCGCAUGCAUGAAGCUGGAGUUGCUAGUUACCGCGCGUCAGCCAUAGUGCGGUGAUACGUACCCGGGGCUUGUACACACCGCCAGUCACGUCAUGGGAGUCGGUAACGCAUGAAGCCGGUAGUCUGGCCCGCAA